UACAGAGGGGGCGAGCGUUAUUCGGAAUUAUUGGGCGUAAAGGGUGCGUAGGCGGCCCGUUAAGUCAGUGGUGAAAGCCUCCAGCUCAACUGGAGAACUGCCAUUGAUACUGGCGGGCUUGAGUACAGACGAGGUAGGCGGAAUUGAUUGUGUAGCGGUGAAAUGCAUAGAUACAAUCAAGAACACCGAUUGCGUAGGCAGCUUACUAGGCUGUAACUGACGCUGAGGCACGAAAGCGUGGGGAGCGAACAGG
rnacentral:rRNA from 1 species